UCGGUUCGGGCUGGGGCAUUCCCCCACGCAUAAUAUUUAUUGAUUUAAAGAGCAUUAAAUGGAUUGCUAUGGUAAAAAGUUUUUUGGCGUCUAACCAACGAAAUAUAGGUGGAACUUAUUAAACCUAUGUGCCAUCUGCAGUAAACUGCUGACGAAUCGAAAUUUACCUGGUGAAUUGAAAUAUCUUAGUAACCAGAGGAAAAGAAACCAAUUAGGGAUUUUGUAAGUAGUGAUGAGCGAAAGCGAAAAAGAUUGUAUAAUAUAGAUCUAUAACUGGAGACAUUAGUCACUAUAAACUAUUGUGGAAGUCAAUGACCAUAGAGGGUAAACAGUCCCGUAAAGGCUUUUUUAGCUUUAUGUCUACUGUACCAGAUUUUGUAAUCUAUUCAAAAAAGUAAGGCGAAGAUCAAUUUUGUCUGAAUUUGGGGAUACCCCUCUCUAAUCUAAAUAUAACUUUUUAACCGAUAGUGAACGAGUACCGUGAGGGAAAGCUGAAAAAAUACCUAAUGAAAUAGGAUUGAAAAUAUUAUGAAAUUAAAUGCUUAUUAACAGUGGAAGCUUUUGCAAAAAAGUGACCGCAUACCUUUUGCAUAAUGGGCGUGUGACUCAAUAAUAUCAAGCGUAGCUUAAACGGUUACGUGGAGGCUUAAUAAAUUUGUCAAAUCGUUUGUAUUAUUGUACCCGAAGCCAGUCGAUCUACAUAAGAGCAGGUUGAAAGAUUGGUCAAACAAUAAGGAGGACCGAACCCGUUUCUGUAGCAAAAGGAUGGGAUGACUUUUAUGUAGGGGUGAAAGGCCAAUCAAGGCUGGUGAUAGCUGGUUUUUCGCGAAAAGUAUCUAAGUACUGCACAUUUACUGAAUCAAGAGGGUAGAGCACUGUUCAUACAAAAGUGGCCCAAAGCCUUAUGAUGUAUCAGCAAACUCCGAAUAUCUUUGAUUUUUGAAAUGUGGACAGACUAUCGGCGAUAAGGUUGAUAGUCUAAAGGGAAAAAGCCCAGAUCGUUUGUUAAGGUCCCUAAUCUAUAAACUGAGUGGUAAAGGACGUUUUAAAGCUUUGACUAUCAGAAGGUUGGCUUAGAAGCAGCCAUCCCCUAAGGAAAGCGUAAUAGCUCACUGAUAUAGUUUUAAUGCACCAAAAAUUCAACGGGGCUCAAGUUAUAAACCGAAACAACGAACAAGUCGAUUUUGUACUUGUGGUAGCGAAACAUUCUAUUACUUGAUAAAGUAAUUUUGGUGAAAAAUUAUGAAGAGUUUAGAAGUGAUUAUACACGCAUGAGUAACGUAAAAUCAUGUGAGAAACAUGAUCGUUUUAAGUCCAAGGGAUCCUAAAUCUACAAUAAUUGUUUUAGGUUGAGUUAGAUCUUUUUCUAACUUUUUUUUAAAAGGCCCCUAAGAAAAUAAGCGAAUGUUGAGUUUUUGAUGGGUUUUAUUAAGUGACUGAGUUUGAGUCCUUUUUUGGACAACUUACAGGAAAUAACUUAAUUUUUUUAUAAUAAUACCGUACCGUAAACCGACACUGGUGGACUUAUAGAGAAUAUUCGGACGUUAAGUGAAACUUACUGAAGGAACUCGGCAAAUUGAACCCGUAACUUUGGAAUAAGGGUUGCCUUGAAAAAGGUCUCAGAUAAUCGGGAAUGGCGACUGUUUACUAAAAACACAGGGCUCUGCAAAGCAAUAAUGUUUAGUAUAGGGCCUGACUCCUGCCCGGUGCUGGUAAUUUAAGAGGAUGGAUGAGGGUUUGACUUAUUAGAAACCUCUAGCCUUCGGCUAGAGAAGACCUGAGUUCUGAAUUGAAAGUCUAGUAAACGGCAGCUGUAACUCUGACGGUUCUAAGGUAGCGAUUAAUUGGCACGUAAUUUGUGUCCUGCAUGAAUGGAGUCACGACUGUUCUGCUGUCUCCAGUAAGCGCUUAGUGAAAUUGAAUUCUCCGUGCAGAUGCGGAGUAUCGACAGCUAGACGAGAAGACCCUAUAGUCCUUUACUAUAUCUAUGUAUUGGUUUCAAUCUUAAAUUGUUUAGUGUAGGCGGUAGCGAAAGCGACAAUGAAACACCGCCCUUUUAACGAUCGAAAUCUAAUGUGCUCUAUACAGACAGUGCAUAGUGGGUAGUUUGCUUGGGGCGAGCGACCUUCUAAAGAGUAACGAGGGCAUGCGAAAGUAGGCUCAGAUAGGACGGAAACCUAUUGAAGAGCGUAAAGGUAUAAGCCUGCUUGACUGUGAGACAAAAAAGUCAAACAGAGACGAAAGUCGGCCUUAGUGAACCGGCGAUUCCGUGUGGAAGGGUCGUCGAGCAAUUGAUCAAAGGAACCUUAGGGAUAACAGCCUAGUAUUUCCCUAGAGUCCUUAUCGACGGAAAUGUUCGGGACCUCGAUGUCGGGUCAGGGUGUCCUGGGGGUGAAGAAGCUCCCGAGGGUCAGGGUGUUCACCUGUUAAAACCCUACGUGACCUGGGUUUAGUCCGCGGUGACGCAGGAUGGUCUCUAUCUACUGUCGAUGAUUAAAAACUAUGAACAAGUUACUAAGAGUAUGAAAAGAAAUCAGUAACGAAGCCUAUGGUUCACCAGUUGUAAGUUUUUUUGCAUCGCUGGGACGCUAAGCUUUAAGGGAUAAGUACUGAACUCAUAUUAAGUACGAAGCCAAAUUCAAAACAAGUUUUUUUUUCGCGAAAGACUAUCGCGUAGAUAGGCGAAUAGUCGAAGUUAUGCAAAUAAUGUAGCUUAUUCGUACUAAAUCAAUCAAUAUUAUAACCUAAGAUUAU
rnacentral:rRNA from 1 species